rnacentral:rRNA from 1 species
UACGUAGGGGGCAAGCGUUGUCCGGAAUUAUUGGGCGUAAAGAGCGUGUAGGCGGUCCGGUAAGUCAGCUGUGAAAGUCAAGGGCUCAACCCUUGAAAGCCGGUUGAUACUGCCGGGCUAGAGGGUGGUAGAGGCGAGUGGAAUUCCCGGUGUAGCGGUGAAAUGCGCAGAUAUCGGGAGGAACACCAGUAGCGAAGGCGGCUCGCUGGGCCAUUCCUGACGCUGAGACGCGAAAGCUAGGGGAGCGAACAGG